CACAUGCCAGCCGCCUCUGCGGCACAAGAUAGAUGGGAUACCCAGGCUGGUGGAUUUGCACCAGGGAAAGUCCAGCUCAGGAGCAGCGAUGCUACACAAGAGACCGAAGUGCCCCGACCUCGGCAGCAUUCAUUUCUUGAAUGCUGCUAAAUAGGAAGAAAUACCCUGUGAAGGGCUUGAAUUCCUUGAGGAUGCAUAAUGGUCAUAAGCACAAAAAUCCUGGAGGCUGGAAAGAGAGUGGGUCAGUGCCCUCUCUGUGGAGCAGCAUCCAGCCACCUCUUGUUGUGCUGCAGUCCACCUCUAAGAUGUGCCACCAUGACUGUGGAGAUGUCCC